rnacentral:rRNA from 1 species
GUCCCGCAACGAGCGCAACCCCUAUCACUAGUUGCCAUCAGUUCGGCUGGGCACUCUAUUGAGACUGCCGGUGUUAAGCCGGAGGAAGGUGGGGAUGACGUCAAGUCCUCAUGGCCUUUAUGUCCAGGGCUACUCACGUGCUACAAUGGCCGGGACAGACGGUUGCAAACCCGCGAGGGGGAGCCAAUCCGAAAAACCCGGUCUCAGUUCGGAUUGGAGUCUGCAAUUCGACUCCAUGAAGCGCGGAAUCGCUAGUAAUCGCGGAUCACAUGCCGCAGUGAAUACGUUCCCGGGCCUUGUACACACCGCCCGUCACACCAC